GCCUUUGUUAGUCUUGUAUUAUUUUAAUUUUAGUUUCUUGUGUACAAUUUGGAAAUUAGUAUGGCGUUCAUUAUCACUGAACUAGUAUAUAUUUGUUUAGGGGCCAGUUGAAGGACGCCUCCGUGUGCGGGAAUUUCUCGCUACAUUGAAGACCUGUUGGUGACCUUCUGCUGUUUUUUUCUAUGGUCGGGUUGUUGUCUCUUUGGCACAUUCCCCAUUUCCAUUCUCAAUUUUAUAU
rnacentral:lncRNA from 1 species